rnacentral:tRNA from 1 species
AGUUCCAUAAUGCAGUGGUUAGCACAUCUGCUUUACACACAGAAGGUCCUGGGUUCAUGUCCCAGUGGAGCCA